CAGCCACCUUCGUUACUGGCUUGCAAAGUGAUUCCUCAGACUCAGUGAUAAGGACAUCAUCAUCAGCAUACCUGAGAUUACAGCAUCUGCUCCCCCUAAUUUGAAUUCCUCCAUUUUUUUGUAAAAAUAGAUAUAAAACCCUGUCAUAAAUGCACAGAGGAGACGGAUCUCUGAAGGAAAAAGAAGAGAGUGUUGCAAUUGAAGUAUCAGUCUGGAAAAAAAUACAUUGCUAUCUCAUGGGAAGGCACCCAGAGGAUUUGCCGCAUUAGUAGGGAGCAGAGUUUUGGUAUGGACGGCACAAAAGGUCCUUUGGCCUGGAGGUCUUCAUGAGAAGGAUAACCAACAAGAGGCAAAAGGAGCAAGCUGUACAUCUAUACGAAGCAGCACUGUGCAGUCUCCUCUGCAAAAACGAUGCUAGAGAUGCCUGAAGGAGGACACAGCUCUAGAGAUCUCCUGUUCCAGCAAUGACUGCUGCAGGCUGGGACAUGAAUGAGCUUGUUAUUCUGGGAAAGCAAAAAAAUACAAUCACAGCAAGUAGGUGUGGAAGGCUCCAAAAAUGACACCCUGCCUUAAUAUAACAGGACCACUCCUCUACUUUUCUAUAGGAGAUGGAUUUCCUGAACAUACAAAAGAAAUUUCAAAGUUCAGCUCCUGACUCUAGCAGAUAUAUAUCAAUCAGACUCUAAAAUCUGCAGACAAUAUCUGCUGUGUCUUUCUAAAUAUUAAGGAGUUAAUAAGCUCUUUCA